UCCUAUGUGGGAGGCGUUCGUAUUACUUGCUGCGUACUCUGCGGGUAUUUCGUAUACGCCUGGUUUUUCUGGUUGGCUGCGGGGGUCCUUAUCAUUUCUGAGGAUGUUGAGCACUGUUAGUGCUCUUUUUGUGGCCACUCACUUCUUGGCUUUGUGUGCUAUAUUUUUAACUGACUUUGGUUUGGUGGUAUCAUACGGGACUGGCGGGAGGUCAUCAUUGCGAUCGUUUCUUGCUUCAGUUGUGUUCUGCUUGUGUACGACUUUUUCAUCUUAUGGUGGGUUCUAUUUAUAAAUUGGUUCGUG
rnacentral:lncRNA from 1 species